GAGAUCUUAGCUUAAUGGUAAAGCAUGUGACUUUUAAUCACUCUAAUGCGGGUUCAAAUCCUGUAGGUCUUA